rnacentral:misc_RNA from 1 species
GGAAUCCAAAGAUUACAAUUUUAAAUUUUAAAGUGGGAAAAAGGGACUAAGUGAAUAACCAAAGAGAGAAAUAGACCAGUUGAGUUGAGUCAUAACUCAUAAACAGUUGACCACAGCUUCACUCGGCACAAUAGAGUGACGCGAAAAUGAGAAGCUUUCCAAGAACCUACUAUUUAAACUAGAUUCAAUUUUCUUCUCUUUGAAUCAAAAACAUCUAUUUCCCAAUAUCCCAAAAAAAAACUUUUGCAGAUCGGUGUGGAAAACAAAGAAUGAACGCAGGUUCUUUGGUUGCGGACUCGGUGUGGAAAACCAUUGAGUCAACUCUUUCAGGUCCUUUCUUUCUUAAAGUUUUCUUUUUUCCCUUAUUUAUUUGAGUUUAGAGCAUCUUUAAAACCCACCGACUAUAUAAAUGAGGUUUGAUUUUGUUUUACUGGUGGCAGUGACUGAGGAUCAGCUCUCAAUGUCAGUAGUGUAUGCUUACUUCUGCUCUACAAUUUGUUUAGAUGCGUAUGUGGGUAUUGAUAUUUUCCAGUUUUUUGAUCUCUUUUUGUUAAUUGUAGCUUGCAUUUCUUGUUUGGUAAAAACUUUGAGAGAGCCACUAGGAUAGUGGAUCAAAGAGGUGUCAAGAGGAUCUCUGGUGAGCCCAGUGGUCGUUCCAUCUUUCAGGUUAAAUCUACUCUUUGCUCUGUAUUAUGUUGUAUUCACACUUAUUACUUGUAUAGGGAUUUUACAGUUUGAAUUUAGGGCCUAAUUUGUGUUUGAAAAUGCAAUUUGAACUGAAUUGGGUUUAAUUUGAGAGAAAAUGGGUGGUAAUGAGUUUUGAAUGUCCAGCUUAGUAGGGAUGUUUGACUAACAAAUAUUUGGAGAGCUAGAAUGUUUUGGCGUUUGCUAAAAUAUUAAAGAGGAAUGCUCAAGAAAUUUAGAUGAUAUUUAGCUGUAUUAAAGAGGAAUUCUCAAGAAAUUUAGAUGCUUUUUAGCCAAAUGGCAAGAGGUUUGAGGGUUAGGAGCUGCAAAAAUUUUCCAUAAAUUUGGUAGAUGAAACUCUAGUUGGAUAAUGAUAUCAAUGUGACCAAAGUUAGUUUCAGAAUUAUUCAAAAGAUGGCAAUAAAGAGUUUAACAUUGAAUUGUUAACGAACAUUUUCAGUAAGUGGAUUUCUUGUUUAUAUUGUGUGGUUAGGUGGUGGGGGAAUCACAGAGGAAGGAGGAGUACUUCUGUUUCCCUGAACAAUAUUGUGCCUGUUACUCAUUUUUUUAUGACAUUGUAAACAGAGGAGAGCAACUUUGUGUAAGAUUGUAUUCUUGCUAGUUCAUCAUUUAGUUUGUGUACACUGCUUUUCUCUAAUGCUCUAGUGAUUAUUUCUUCUUUUUCCCCACUUUUUAAUCUCUCCUAGUGUAAGCAUCAAUUAGCUGCAAGGCUUGCUGCAGCAUUGGGAACCUGUGUCAACGUUAGUGUGUCUGAUGAGCAACUAGCACUAUUGCUUGUGAAACUUUAACAGCAUAGAUGGAAGAUGAAUUUAGACUCAGAAGAUGAGGGGGUAUGCUCCAAGAAAAUCACUCUGAGAUAUAAUAUAACUGCUUUAAGAAUAUGAAAUUUUGCAUCCUCACUUAGAUUGGAAAUUACAGUGUAUUGUAUUUGUACUGUUGCAUAAUAACAGCCAUAGUAACCAUGCAGUUCUAUAAAAUUUAAAUAGUGCUAUUUUUUCCCCUUCCACAAGCAUGGAAGCAUUAGCAAGCAGAGAGCUAGAGCUCAUGCCCUGCCUGGUUCUGUUUAAUUUUCAUUAUCUGAUGAUAUCUUCUUGUUUGGUUAAUCAUGGUAUAAUGAAUAAUUUCUGGAGACUAUAGCAACUCUGAAGGUUUUCUGUUUAAAUGGUUUUUUAGGUCCCUCUUACUGUAAGUGAAAUAUACAUAAAAAUUUAAUGGGUAGAUUGUUUUUCAGUAGGUUUGAGGAUUAUAAGAGAUUAUUCUAUAUUUUCCUUCUAGAUUUGGGUCAAAUGAUUUAGAACUCAAAGGAAAAUAUCAAAAUGGUGAAGUGGAUGAACUGCAUCCUUACUAUCGAAGCAACACUCUGAACAGGAUAGAGAACAUCAACAGGGAAAUGCAUUACCUUGUGCUAGUAUAACCACUAUAAACUAGAAUAAAAGGAGGGGGAGAGAAA